UACGGAGGGGGCUAGCGUUGUUCGGAAUUACUGGGCGUAAAGCGCGCGUAGGCGGACCUGCAAGUCGGGGGUGAAAGCCCGAGGCUCAACCUCGGAACUGCCUUCGAUACUGCGGGUCUCGAGUCCGGGAGAGGUGAGUGGAAUUCCUAGUGUAGAGGUGAAAUUCGUAGAUAUUAGGAAGAACACCAGUGGCGAAGGCGGCUCACUGGCCCCGGUACUGACGCUGAGGCGCGAAAGCGUGGGGAGCAAACAGGG
rnacentral:rRNA from 1 species